AUGCCAUCACGGCCACGCGCUCCAGGUUCCGCCGCCGAGAUGGGCGCCCAGGAAAUCCCUGCCCGGGGCGGCUCCCCUGCCCCUCCCGUCACCACCAAGCACGACGCGUCCGGCACUGGCGAAGCCCAAAGCGGCCCCGUCCGCUCCCCGGCCCCGGAAGGAAGCGACCGCCCGGUGGAGGAGGAGAACUCCCCCGCGGAAAUCCCUUGGUACGAUAAAAUUGAGAACAUAGAUGAGGACUACCGCCUGUACUUGAGUUGCAUACGCAUGGUGAAUGGCCACCAGAUGGUGGUCGUGCCGGAGGGCGGGCUGGACGCGAAGCUGGUUCCACGGAAGAAGGGUGGGGAGGAAGCGGCUUCCCGUGCUACUUCAGGGAAGAACGGCUGCGGCUUUGGGAAGAAGGAGGAAGGGAAGGGGAAGGUGGCGGCGAUCGCCACGGGUGGGCCUGCGCUGAAGUCUCCCGUGGGCGAUUCCGCUACGCAUCCGCAAAAGAUUCAGAAGGAGAGGAAGAAUGGAUGGAAAAAUGGUGCUAAGAAGAUGAAGGUGGCGGAGAAAGAAGAGAACCCGUCGGCAGAGCCGCAUCUGGAAACACUCAGCACUGCGUGGGGGAAGGGGAAUGUGGAGCCGAAGCUGCCUAUGGAAACACUGAAUACUAUGAAGAGGAAAAGGAAAUCAAGUGAUGUCCAAAAUGCUGAGUCUCGCACUGCUUCAGGGAAGGGGAAUGUGGAGCCGAAGCUGCCUAUGGAAACACUGAAUACUGUGAAGAGGAAAAGGAAAUCAAGUGAUGUCCAAAAUGCGGAGUCUCGCACUGCUUCGAAAGGGAAGGACAAGGUACCGACGAUCAUCACGGGUGAGUCUGCGCCGAAGUCUCGUGUGCGCGAUUCCACUACACAUCCGCAACAGGGUCAGAAGGAGAAGAAUGGAGGCAAAAAUGGUGCUAAGAUGAUGAAGGUGGUGGAGGAAGCAGAAGGGAUUGCGUUGAAGGAGCUGCCUAUGGAAACACUGAAUAUUGUGAAGAGAAAAAGGAAAUCAAGUGAUGUACAAAAUGCCGAUUCCCACACUGCUUCAACUGACAACAGAAAGCCACAACUUCGGAGAUCUGCUCGACUUAUGCUCAGUCCGCCUGAAAAUGAUCAUAAGUAG
rnacentral:rRNA from 1 species